rnacentral:lncRNA from 1 species
UUUUUGUUUUCUUUUUGGUGGUUGUUGUUGUUUUAUCUUUUUUUAAGUCUUUUUUUUAAGAUUUUAUUUAUUUAUUCAUGAGAGACACAGAGAGAGAGAGGCAGAGACUCAGGCAGAGGGAGGAGCAGGCUCCCUGUGGGGAACCCAAUGUGGGACUCUGGAUCCCAGGUCCCUGGGGUCACGCCCUGGGCCAAAGGGAGGCAUCCAACUGCUGAGCCAGCCAGGGAUCCCAUUCUUUUUGUUGUUGUUGUUGUUUUUAAGGCUAAUUCUUAAUUGUCAAUUUUAAUUGCUGCAAUUGCUUAAAUAAAAAUCUAUUACUUAUUAACUACUUAUUUAAACCAUAUUUCAAAACGUUUUGCUUUCAGUAUUUCAAAUCAUAUUUCAACAAGAGUGUGUAUGUGUGUAGAUAUUUAUAUAGCUAUCUGAACUAUAUAUGAUGCAGUGUCAAAUUCUGUUAUUUUAAAGAAGUUAAAAUAAUUGAAUACUAGGCUAUGCUUUAAAAAUUAAUAUAAUAAAGGUUUAGAGAUAUUGCAGGAUUCUGAUAUAGCCUACUGAUUUCAAGUUACAAAGUACUUAUAUUUAGAGUCAUUUAUAUCAAUGAUCCAAUUAUUUAAUCAAUACAAAAGGGCACGUAAUUAUAGUCUAUAAAGUAUAAAGAUCAUGGCUUCAAGAACUGCAGCAAGAACAGUAAUGUAUUGCAACACAGCCAUUGCCAAGAACAAUACUUCCUCUGGUUUAAACACUUUCUGAACCAGAAGAACUUAAGCAUAAUAUACUGAAAUCGAAACAUUUGAUGGCAUCAAAUUAUUUUUCUCUACCUGAUACAAGAAGAGGAAGAUAAACUGAGAAAUCAAUGUUACUGUUCCAAAACAAUAAAAAGAAAAUAGUAUUUAAUUUUUUUCAUACUAAUCAGUUAAGAUAUGAAAGUAUUAAAGAAGGGUUUGAACAAAGAAUUGAAAAUUAGCUUACCAAUCUGCUUCAAAUAAUUUCGGAUGAGAGUUAUUAAUAUGAAACGAUCAUUCUUCAUGCUCAAGAAAAGAUUUAGAAAUACAGGUAAUGUUUAAUCUUAAUUUUAUCUCAUUCUAUCAAUUUCAUUUCAAUGGAAUUUAAACUGUUAUUUUAAUAUAUAAUUCAUAAUUUAUACUAUUUGUACUUAUGAAUAAAAAUCUAAGUACAUGAUUUAUAUUUGUAUUAAGACUUCUUUGAAAUGCAGUUUGCCUUCCUGUUUAUUUCCAUUGAUUUAUUUAAACUUUAUGAAAUAUGAACACUUCUAAAAGUAGAAGACUGGUAUUGAUACAAACAUUCUCAUUUAGCUCUGGUUCGUCUCGCUAUCAUUCUUUGAAACCUAAAUGAAUGUAUUCACAAAUGAGGCAGGUAACAGCCAUAAAACAUAUGGGAAACAUAUGCUCUGUACAAAGAUGUUUAAAUAAUUUGUUAACACUAGGCAAAAGAGACAAAAUAUAUCUUCAUGCCAAAUUCGUCACUCAAACUACAACUCUGUGACUUCUAUAACUGGAUCCCAUUCUCUUCCAUAUUCUUCUAAUUCUUCUAAAAAAGUUUCCUUCUCACCGUGUUGUACAUACUUAUUCCUUUUCACUCCAUUAUCAUUCUCUCUGCCUUUCUGAAAACUGUUGAAUUAAGCUAUGUGUUCUGAAGUUCACUGAGAUUAAUAAUAGGCUCCCAGAAAAAAAAAAUUAAAAAAAAUUUCCAUCUCAGACAUCUACUUGCGAUGUCUGCCUAGAGCAGAGAAUGAGGGAGUGGCAACAUGAAUACCUUUGUCAUCCCUGUCUUAAGCCAGACAUACCUCAAUUUAACCUCAGAGUUAUUGUCCAAUUACUUAUCUUUAUUAAAAUGUAUCAGACUUUCCAUUUUCUAAAUAAGAUUUUGGAUAGGCAAAUGCAUAUGUGAUAUUAAGACUAAGUUUAUAUAAAUACUUUUCUUUUCCUAUCAGAUUCUAUAAAAGGUUUGUAGAAAAGUUUGGGCUUUUAAAAAUUCUUUAAAAACAGAAGGAAGCAGGAAAAUAGUAAUUUUCCUUUAUGUAGUGACUGAGUUCCAUUUAUAACUGAUUUUCAAAAACACUGUUUUGGUGCUUUGCUUUCAACUAGUUUAAUUAUGAUACAAAAUGAAUAAGGGUAGACAUUACUGUGCGUUUUCUAACUACUGCUAGAUAGACGAUAGACGUUGUCAUAAAUAGAUAUAGAAGCACAGGAAACAGACAUGAAACCCAGAUUUUGCUUAAUAUUAGAAGUGACCCAUAUAUGGUCCUCAACUAGAUUGUAGUAUUGCAAAGCGCAUUGAUUUUAGAUAGUUAGUCCUUUUUCUUCUCCCCCAAGAUAUAUAGUCAGUGACUAGAGCACAAUAAGGAUAAAUUCAUAUUGAAUUGAAAAGGUGUUGCAAGUGGUCUGUCAGGAAUAAAAUGAGGAUUUCAAAAUCCUUAUGAGGGAACAGUCGGGAGAUUAUGCUUAGAGAUAAGAAGGGAAAAUAUAGGUGAAUAAGGGAAAAUAACUAGACAUCAAAUAGAAACAGGCUUAGGAAGACAGGGUCUCUCCCUGAGGACUCAAUGUCCAUGUAACUCCAUGUGGCAACAAGAUGGUUUAAGUUAGUUUAAUAAAUAAACCCAUAUCGAAUGAAGUAUUUUAUUCGUAUUUCAAUCUAUUUCAGUAUCCCAUCAUCAUUUUAAAAGAAGCCGCCUUCGGGUCAAGUUUAAGACUUUUAUGAUAUACAUAUUACCACGUGUUGGCAUCAAAAGAAAGAAAUACAUUAAAUCUAAAAAUACAUGCAGCGCUAUACACAACCUUAAAAUGCCUUAGAAAUGCACGCUAUGUGACAACUACACGCCAUGUGUAAUCUGCAGUUGGAAUCUGGACCAAAACACAGUGAAGCAAAAGCACAACAAAAAAA